rnacentral:lncRNA from 1 species
CUGGCAUGGGAAUGAGGCAGGAGGCCCAGCCGUGGGGAACUGGAGGUCCUGCCUUUUUGAGACGGAAGCCACUGAACAGGUGAGGACUGAAGUUUAGAGUUUGGAUGGUUUACUGCCUUUGAUUGGCACACAGCCGCCGGUGUAUGUACGUUGUGUGUGUGCAAUGGUGAGGCCACUGUGCACCCGGUGGCUGGCUUCUCAUGAGUUUAACACACACUCACCACACCAGUCAGCCCUCACGUCUUUACCCUGGAUCCUUUUCUAGAAAGGAUCUGGAAAGUAAACAUUUUAGACUUUGAGGGCCACAGUCACUGUCCCUGUUCCUCUCUGUGGUUGUCCUGCCAGACACACACCAUGAGUUUACAAAGACAGGCGGCGGGUGGAUGUGGCCUGGGGCCUGUUUGCCAAUGCCAGCCCCAGAAAAUAAAACUUAUGUUUGCAUAAAUACCUAUACACAGAUAUUUCUACCCAGGCAUAAUCACCAAGUGCUGGAAGCAACACAAGCGUCCUUCAAUGGUGAACGGAUGGCAGGGCCCCCAGAAGACCACACGAAAGUCGUGUAGAGAAGACGUCAGGUGAGCUCUGGGAUGAGGAAUCUUCAGAGGAGGCGAAGAUUCCUCUGAAUCCUCCGAGGAGGCGAAGAUUCCUCUGAAUCCUCCUUCAGAGGAGUCUGGGGGUGGGAGGGCACAGGGCAUGGGGUAUCCAGGAGCCAAGCAAAGUGGGGGUUUCCGGGAGAAGGACUGAGGCACCCUCAAGGCUGCAGAUGGGGCGUCAGAUGUCGGGGAGAACGAGCUGGAGAUGGACACGGACAUGGAGGUGUGGAUGGCCCUGGGGAGGCCCCCUGGCAGCUGGUGGAUGGCAGGAGCAGCGUGGACAGCAGGAGCAGCAUGAACUGCAGGAGCGGCGUGGGAUGAGAGAGCCAUGCACAGUUCUUCCUCCUGCUGAGAGAACAGAUCCUGUGUGACCUUCACACCUUCAUUAUUGGAAACUGCUAAUGUGUGUUCCUUUUGAAAUGUGCAAGAUGUUGGACGUG